CCCGAGUGGUUAAUGGGGACGGAUUGUAAAUUCGUUGACUAUAUGUCUACGCUGGUUCGAAUCCAGC
rnacentral:tRNA from 1 species